GCGCGCGUAGCUCAGUUGGUAGAGCACCUGACUUUUAAUCAGGUUGUCACAGGUUCGAUCCCUGUCGCGCGUACCA
rnacentral:tRNA from 2 species